GUAGGUGAACCUGCGGAAGGAUCAUUAGUGAAAAACCGGGCGUCUUCGGACCCCAACCUCUCACAUCCACACACACCUGUGCACCUGUUUGGGGGAUCUUUGAGCAUGAAAGUGCUCGAUCUUGCCCUAUUUUUUUAAUCACACACAACCUGUCCUUUGAAUGUCACCCUUCUAUCGCUGUCAUAGCGUCGAAAUCAAAUAAAACUUUUAACAACGGAUCUCUUGGCUCUC
rnacentral:misc_RNA from 1 species